GACCUAUCUACGCGCACGAUUACCCCAAACUACUCCCUCCUGUACCUCUCCACGACUAUCCCCUCCUUUUCCUCCUCCCUUCUUUCCUCCUCCUCAUUUCCUCUUCCGGCUUGUGCGCGUCCUCUCCAGCCUUCCCCGUGGCCGCUGUUGCCCGCCAGGACUCCAUCAACUGCAUCUUCAAGGUACUCCAUCAACUGGACCAUUUUCUCUCGUCCAAUGCACUUCCGGUAAUGUUUCUUUCUUUCAGCCCUCCUUCAUUCCCCUGCCAGCGUCCGUCUUCUAGUGGCAGAAUCUAGCCCACCACCUGUAUGUUAAUUUGCUUAAUAGCAGGGAAACGGGUGGCCCUUUCAGCUGCUCUCGAUGGCGUGCCUCUCACUUGCGGUCAAAAUGGAAGGACCGCAAUGCUGUUGGGGUAGCUGCACUCGAACAGCCUCCCCUCGUUCUACAAUAUGAAUGGGUUCAGACACGCGUCCACCGACACCACCGUCGGCUCUCCGAACAGAUUCGACCUGUACACUUUCCUGAACCUGCAGAAUAACACAACGAAGUACAAAAUUGAAUAAUAACAUGGGUCUUGUUUUUUCCCCAAUUCUUUUUCUGGGUACGGUACUUUCGUUUUGAUUUUGGGUAAAUUAAUGAAUUAAUUACCUUGAGAUGUGCUGGUCCAUAAAUUCGCCUAAGGUGGUAGCAGAGAAGGGCCUCAAGUAGCCGAUGGUCUCGCCGAGAAAAGGCCAGCCCAUAUUUCCCGGCGGGAGAUUGAGGUCGGUAAUUUUCCUUCUCCUGACCAGACGCAGAAAUAAAACAGAGAGAAGAAGAAGAAGAAGAAGAAGAAGAGGAAGCUAGAAGAAGAAAACAAGCUCUUCAGAGUCGGACAUCGAGGCUGCAGAUUUGUUGGGGUUUCCGCCGUCGGCCAUUGCAGCGGCUGCAGCGCUCUCUGCCGCUGGUGAAAGCGUCGAUUUUUCUGCGGGUGAUGUUACCGGUGUCAUACUGUGAGCUAGUGAACAAAGUAUUUGGGCUUUAUAUAUUUGUUGAGAUAUUUUGCUGUGCGCGUCAUCAUUUAUUUGAUUUACUUGUAAUUCAAAUUCUGCCAGUAGAUUUUCAAAUUUGCACAUGUAUUUGGGCUUUAAAUUUGGCUUGUCUUCUAGAUCUGCAAACUUAAUAUUCUUGUUACUUUUAGUGAAAUGAGUGGUCUGAAGAAAUGAUGUUGGGGCCUUAGUUAACAA